CGGGGUCCGCAUUGUAAUUUGCAGAGGAUGCUUCGGGAGUGGCCCCCAUCUAAGUGCCCUGGAACGGGCCGUCAUAGAGGGUGAGAAUCCCGUCUGGGAUGGGGUGUCCACGCCCGUGUGAAGCUCCUUCGACGAGUCGAGUUGUUUGGGAAUGCAGCUCUAAAUGGGUGGUAAAUUUCAUCUAAAGCUAAAUACUGGCCGGAGACCGAUAGCGCACAAGUAGAGUGAUCGAAAGAUGAAAAGCACUUUGAAAAGAGAGUUAAACAGCACGUGAAAUUGUUGAAAGGGAAGCGCUUGCGACCAGACUCGCCCACGGGGUUCAGCCGGCAUUCGUGCCGGUGUACUUCCCCGCGGGCGGGCCAGCGUCGGUUUGGGCGGCCGGUCAAAGGCCCUCGGAAUGUAACGCCCCCCGGGGCGUCUUAUAGCCGAGGGUGCCAUGCGGCCAGCCCGGACCGAGGAACGCGCUUCGGCUCGGACGCUGGCAUAAUGGUCGUAAGCGACCCGUCUUGAAACACGGACCAAGGAGUCUAACAUCUACGCGAGUGUUCGGGUGUCAAACCCGUGCGCGCAGUGAAAGCGAACGGAGGUGGGAACCCCUCGGGGCGCACCAUCGACCGAUCCUGAUGUCUUCGGAUGGAUUUGAGUAAGAGCGUAGCUGUUGGGACCCGAAAGAUGGUGAACUAUGCCUGAAUAGGGCGAAGCCAGAGGAAACUCUGGUGGAGGCUCGCAGCGGUUCUGACGUGCAAAUCGAUCGUCGAAUUUGGGUAUAGGGGCGAA
rnacentral:rRNA from 1 species